GACGAACGCUGGCGGCGUGCUUAACACAUGCAAGUCGAACGAUGAAGCCUAGCUUGCUAGGUGGAUUAGUGGCGAACGGGUGAGUAAUACGUGAGUAACCUACCUUUAACUCUGGGAUAAGCCUGGGAAACUGGGUCUAAUACCGGAUACGACCAAUCUCCGCAUGGGGUGUUGGUGGAAAGCGUUAUGUAGUGGUUAUAGAUGGGCUCACGGCCUAUCAGCUUGUUGGUGAGGUAACGGCUCACCAAGGCGACGACGGGUAGCCGGCCUGAGAGGGUGACCGGCCACACUGGGACUGAGACACGGCCCAGACUCCUACGGGAGGCAGCAGUGGGGAAUAUUGCACAAUGGGCGCAAGCCUGAUGCAGCGACGCCGCGUGAGGGAUGACGGCCUUCGGGUUGUAAACCUCUGUUAGCAGGGAAGAAGAGAAAUUGACGGUACCUGCAGAGAAAGCGCCGGCUAACUACGUGCCAGCAGCCGCGGUAAUACGUAGGGCGCGAGCGUUGUCCGGAAUUAUUGGGCGUAAAGAGCUUGUAGGCGGUUUGUCGCGUCUGCUGUGAAGGCCGGGGCUUAACCCCGUGUAUUGCAGUGGGUACGGGCAGACUAGAGUGCAGUAGGGGAGACUGGAAUUCCUGGUGUAGCGGUGGAAUGCGCAGAUAUCAGGAGGAACACCGAUGGCGACGGCAGGUCUCUGGGCUGUAACUGACGCUGAGAAGCGAAAGCAUGGGGAGCGAACAGGAUUAGAUACCCUGGUAGUCCAUGCCGUAAACGUUGGGCACUAGGCGUGGGGGACAUUCCACGUUUUCCGCGCCGUAGCUAACGCAUUAAGUGCCCCGCCUGGGGAGUACGGCCGCAAGGCUAAAACUCAAAGAAAUUGACGGGGGCCCGCACAAGCGGCGGAGCAUGCGGAUUAAUUCGAUGCAACGCGAAGAACCUUACCAAGGCUUGACAUAUACUGGACCGCAUCAGAGAUGGUGUUUCCCUUCGGGGCUGGUAUACAGGUGGUGCAUGGUUGUCGUCAGCUCGUGUCGUGAGAUGUUGGGUUAAGUCCCGCAACGAGCGCAACCCUCGUUCUAUGUUGCCAGCACGUUAUGGUGGGGACUCAUAGGAGACUGCCGGGGUCAACUCGGAGGAAGGUGGGGAUGACGUCAAAUCAUCAUGCCCCUUAUGUCUUGGGCUUCACGCAUGCUACAAUGGCCGGUACAGAGGGUUGCGAUACUGUGAGGUGGAGCUAAUCCCUAAAAGCCGGUCUCAGUUCGGAUUGGGGUCUGCAACUCGAUCCCAUGAAGUCGGAGUCGCUAGUAAUCGCAGAUCAGCAACGCUGCGGUGAAUACGUUCCCGGGCCU
rnacentral:rRNA from 1 species